rnacentral:rRNA from 1 species
AACGUAGGACACGAGCGUUAUCCGGAGUUACUGGGCGUAAAGGGCGUUCAGGCGGGUGAUUAAGUUCGCUAUGAAAGCGCCGGGCUAAACCCGGCGAGGCUGGCGGAUACUGAUCAUCUGGAGUGAGUCAGAGGAAGGUAGAAUUCCGAGUGUAGAGGUGAAAUUCGUAGAUAUUCGGAGGAACACCAGUGGCGAAGGCGGCUCACUGGUCCAUUACUGACGCUGAGGUGCGAAAGCGUGGGGAGCAAACAGG